rnacentral:rRNA from 1 species
UGAAUACGAGAUGCUACGGCGUCGAAGCAGUGUAUGUCAGACUUCCAAGAAAAGCUCGCAAUGUCAUAAAUAAAGAAUGCCUGUACCAUAACCGACACAGGUGGGUAGGUAGAGUAUACUAAGGGGCGCGAGAUAACUCUCUCUAAGGAACUCGGCAAAAUAACUCCGUAACUUCGGGAGAAGGAGUGCCUUCUUUAAGAAGGUUGCAAUAACAAGAUCCAAGCAACUGUUUAUCAAAAACACAGGUCUCCGCUAAGUCGUAAGACGAUGUAUGGGGGCUGACGCCUGCCCAGUGCCAGAAGGUUAAAGAAGCUGGUUAGCAAUAGCGAAGCUGGUGACUGAAGCCCUGGUGAACGGCGGCCGUAACAAUAACGGUCCUAAGGUAGCGAAAUUCCUUGUCGGGUAAGUUCCGACCCGCACGAAAGGCGUAAUGAUUUGGAUACUGUCUCGGAGAGGGACUCGGUGAAAUAGACUUGUCUGUGAAGAUGCGGACUACCUGCACCAGGACAGAAAGACCCUAUGAAGCUUUACUGUAACCUGAAAUUGAAAUUGGACUUUAUUUGCGCAGUAUAGGUGGGAGGCGUUGAAAGUAAUCUUGCGGGAUUAGUGGAGCCAUCAGUGAGAUACCACUCCUAUAAUGUUAGAUUUCUAACUUUGGAUCAUGAUCUGGUCAAAGAACAGUUUCAGGCGGGCAGUUUGACUGGGGCGGUCGCCUCCCAAAUGGUAACGGAGGCGUACAAAGGUUUCCUCUGAACGGGUAGAAAUCGUAUCUAGAGUGUAAAGGCAUAAGGAAGCUUGACUGUGAGACCUACAAGUCGAGCAGGGACGAAAGUCGGUCUUAGUGAUCUGACGGUGCUGAGUGGAAAGGCCGUCACUCAACGGAUAAAAGUUACUCUAGGAUAACAGGCUGAUCUCCCCCAAGAGUUCACAUCGACGGGGAGGUUUGGCACCUGGAUGUCGGCUCAUCGCAUCCUGGGGCGGUAGUACGUCCCAAGGGUUGGGCUGUUCGCCCAUGAAAGCGGUACGCGAGCUGGGUUCAGAACGUCGUGAGACAGUUCGGUCCAUAUCCGGUGUAGGCGUUAGAAUAUUGAGAGGAGCCUUCUCUAGUACGAGAGGACCGAGAAGGACAUACCUCUGGUGUACCAGUUAUCGUGCCAACGGUAAACGCUGGGUAGCUAUGUAUGGAGAGGAUAACCGCUGAAAGCAUCUAAGUGGGAAGCCCACCUCAAGAUGAGUAUUCUCAU